rnacentral:lncRNA from 1 species
AAAAAAGAAAGAAGACGAAAUUUCAAAGGUGCUGAGAAAAGCCCAGGGCUCACAGCUGGUUUCAGCAACUUCAACUUGCGUAAGACCCCAUGUUUGUGAAAACAACCCAAGAAUCUUUGAACAGGAUGUAAUCAACCUCCGAUCUGCUGAGAAAUACUGCAAAAAUGACUUCAGCUGCCAAAAAUAAUAAUGUCGUUUACAAGCAGCUCUUCCUAUGUCUAAGGAAGAACUAGUCACACAUGCGAGUUUUUGCUGGCUUGAGGAGAACAAGCAAGGAAAAAGACAAAUUCCACCUACCCUAGCCUAAAAUACACAGUGAGUCUCAGAACCCCGCGGAAGCUGUGGCUCAUUUCUAAAGGUGCUGGCAAUAUCGAGGAAGACUUGCAUCCACAAAAUUCCAAAUGGCCCUUAUCUUACAUCCAAAUAGCUGCAGAAAGAGAGAGAAGAAGAAAGGAAGUAAAAAUGAAGGAAGGAGGACUGGGACUAUGUUCAGAUGCCCUCCCUAGACCAAUUAAAUCAGAAUUUCAGAGAAAUGGUCAAGGUAUUCACAAUAUUUCUAUGUGCCACCAGGGUUGAGAGCCAUUGCCUUUUGGUCCCUUUUAAUUAGAUUAAUUUUACCUCUAAACCUUAACAUCAAAACUCAAUUAACUUUUUUAAAACGCAACUUUCAGUGCAUGUUUUACUCCUAAAUUUCCUCAGCCAGAGACUGUAGAUAAUAUGCCAUUUUUUUCUUUCAUUAUCUUUCAUGGGAAAGAUAGCUCUAUUGACAAAGCUGUAUUAAUUUAAUCUAGUUCCAAGGCUGGUACUUUCCUGACUUGGCUCAAUUCUCUUAAAAAUCUAAACAUGCUGUAGAGAGUAGGCUUCUCCUGCCUCUGGUGUCUACAGUGAAUAUUUAUGGAGAUAAACUUCCAAAAUUUUCUUUGAUUCUUCUUCUGACUUUCAAUUUUCCCUCAUGUCAACCUAUGUGCUUUUCUAUCUGACCUUUCUCCUUCAGAUUGACUGAAUGACAUUUAAUCACAUCUUUCUCUUUUCUGUGAGGUCUCCACAGAUUGAUGGCUACACAACCAUAGCCCUAAUUUUGUAGGGCUACACAAACACCCUCAUCUGUAUACUGCUCUUAUAGACAAC